GUUUCCACAGCAACCCUGUCAGGGUGGAGGAGAGGAGCGAAUCAUGUGAGGCUCGGGCAUCUCUCUCUCUCUCUCUCUCUCUCUCUCUCUUUCUCACAGCAGAAUGAUCGAGGGUGCGUUCAAGGGAGCUCGUGCAUCACAUCAGAGUCGUCCUUCACUCAUCCGUCCUCCAAAGCAGACGCGGAAAGCUGCCAAAAUGGGCUGUGGAAAUUCCUCCGCCACCAGCACGACAGCAGGAGGUCCAGAAGCUGCUAAGGAUGUAGUCCAUCAACAGGGUCUUGAGAUGAAAACUGCUUCUGAUUGUGGACAGAAGAACCUUCACCAGAUGAUGAGAAACGAAGGAACUAUGGAGGAGUGUAUGUAGGCCUUCCUGCGGAUCUGACCACAGUAGCUGCCAGCCAGUCAAAAUCCACACGUAAAGACUGACAGCAGAUCACAUGAAACUACAAAGCCAAGGCCUCUUUAGCUCCGCAGACACUGAUUUACAAUGGAUAUUAAGAUAAUAUUCGAGAAUCGAGCCGUUUUUGGAACUGAAAGCAGAGCCGCUUCGGAAUGACAUCACCGUGACAUCAUACUGGCUGGCGUACAGAAGGGUUCUGUUUGGAACACUGAGCAUUAUUGUGACUCUGAAUGUAGACACUGUUGCCAUGGUAACCGCCGACCCCCUGACCUCACAUCCUGGUAUUUUGGAGUCACCACGGCAGGGCAUUACCAGACCCGAUCUACUGUAUGUCUCUGCAAUAACAGACUUUUCUGAAGCUAUUCCUUCAGCUGUUUCUUAGACGCAUUAAUUAGAAAAAAGGAUGCGGAAAUAAGGGUGGUGCGGGUCCUACUCGACCUGCUCCGAACGGGACUUGAACCGGCAUCUCAGGCAUGGGAGUCCAGGGGAGUGAGGUUUACACGCACAGCUCUUACUAGCUUGCCUCUGUUACACUCGCCCCCAUCCGGGUCACGGCACCGACGGUACUCGACCCGCUCCGAUCGGGAUUCGAACUGGCGUCUCCAGCAUGGGAAGCGGAUGCACUAACAAGGACGCUAAAGACCGCUUACUAGCUUGCUUCCGUUACAUUUUACAUAUGUAAGCACGAAAAAAUAACAACUUAGUCAAAAUGUUUAGCACUAACAUGACUAGAGCUGUUGACAUGACUACUAAAUGGAAAUAAUGACAUUAAUAUAUACUGUAGUUUUCUUAUACACUUUGAUAGUCACAUCACUAUUACAAUUAACACCAUUCAUAACAUUUACUAAUCAAAGAGUUCUUAUAUUUAUUCUAUUUCAGGUUAUUGACCUGUGAUUGUACCAAUUUUUUUGUGACUGAUGUGAAUUCUGUAUAAGAAAUUAAAAAAUAUGAGAUUUUAAGAAACUGAA